CUUCUCCUGCUGUAUGUGUGCAGGCCAAUGUGCACAAUGCUGAGGUAGAUACAACUCCCCAAAUCCACUGCCAGUCAUAAAAAAGCUGAUCCAGGACAGCUCUUGUUCUCCCCAGGAGCUGUGGGCAUGUAUAGAAAAUUCAGUAAUUCAGAUGCUUGUUGAACACUGCCAAAUUACAGUGGAAUUACUUGGUUUAUAGAUGGUCUCAGGAGGCUGAGAAGGUGGAUAAGUGCUGGCAGAGGGCAAUUCCAGCUGUUGUGGUCUCCUUGGGAAGAGGCCUGGCCAUGGGGAGGAUCCCACAGAGCCAGGGGAACAGGAGUGAGGAACAGGAGGCACUGAGAGGCUCCCAGAGAACGAGUUUCUGCUGGGGAAAAGGAAGCAGUGAAUGUCCUUGCAUGAAAAAAGAGAGCUUUAGCCAGAUCUGAGUUUUGUCUGGAAAAAAUGUCAUUUUGAUGAAACAGAAAUUGCUGAAGAAAUCUUACCAAUUUUGACAAUUCUGCUUGGAAGGGAGCUGGGGAGGAAUAUCUUGA
rnacentral:lncRNA from 1 species